AGCUGAUACCUGUCAACGUUGCUUGAAUUUUCACAAUUUUUUUUGCCGCUAUGACAUUACAACUAUAAAAAGUGCUUUAGCUUUUCUCAAAACAACACACAGGCAACGCGCAACAGUAGGAGUACCCACCUGAGACCGAUGACCGAGGCAUCUGGAGCAGCUAUCCCAGGAGGAGCCGCCGGAGACACGGAAUCGUACGGCACAGAGAUGCUUCGGCAGUCCAGCAGGGCGAAAGAGCCAUCCAAGUUGGAUGACCUGGUGCAAUAUGUGAGUCUCCAUGUGCGCAUACCCACGUCGCUGACCGGUGUGGUGCUGCCCUUCGUGCCACUCUACCUGUCCGCAUUCUACCUGUGGAUCAACGUGAGUGGCGGCGAGGAAAAUGAAACCACCCAGAACGAUGUGAUGACCGCCGACAAUCAAACAACCACGGAUAAUUCUACAACUUGGAAUGACGUGGGCUUCAUCGCCGUUCUGGCGAUAGCCUUUCUGCACAUUCUGACGCUGCUCUUCUGCUACUGGAGCGUUCACGUGCUGGCCUUCCUCACCUGCCGACGUGUAAAGCUGCCCGGCGCCAAUGUGCUGGCCAAAGUGGUGCCCACUGCCAACAAUGGCAAUUCGAAGAUCGUACCCAUUCGCUCCUCCCAACUGGAGGACGGCUCAACGCAGUAUUUUUUGGUUUUCCAAAAGACCAAAUACGUUUGGAAUGAGGAUCGAAAAACAUUCCGCGCAGUCGAAUUCCCGGUAAAUGGACUACUGAGUAGCUAUUCCACAUCUAGAGGUUUGGAAACCGAGGAGGCCGUCAAGCGGGCUACUCUCACCUACGGAAACAACGAAAUGGAAAUGGUGGUUCCUGAAUUUCACGAACUUUUCAUAGAACGCGCUACUGCACCUUUCUUUGUGUUCCAAGUGUUCUCCGUGGGACUGUGGUGCAUGGACGACUACUGGUACUACUCCCUGUUCACGCUCUUCAUGCUAAUUGCCUUUGAGUGCACUAUUGUAAAGCAGCAGCUGCGGAACAUGUCCGAGAUCCGAAAAAUGGGCAACAAACCCUACCUGAUAUACGCGUUUCGUCAAAACAAGUGGCGUCACCUUGGAUCCGAUGAGCUGCUACCCGGGGAUUUGGUGUCGAUAACGCGCUCCCAGAAUGACAACAUAGUACCCUGCGAUCUCGUCAUUCUUCGAGGCUCUUGCAUUGUGGAUGAAUCGAUGCUUACUGGCGAAUCGGUGCCACUAAUGAAGGAGUCAUUGGAAUCCUUAGAUAAUCUGGACGUUGAAAUGGAUGCCGAAGGAGAUGGAAAGCUAUUUGUGCUGUUUGGUGGCACGAAAGUUGUACAGCACACUGCCCCAACAAAAGAAUCGCUUCGUGCUCCUGACGGUGGUUGCAUCGGCUAUGUGAUCCGUACAGGCUUUAACACAUCCCAGGGCAAACUUUUGCGGACAAUCCUGUUCGGCGCAAAUCGAGCCACGGAGAAUAACGUAGAGACCUUCGCCUUUAUCGCUUUCCUGAUGGUAUUUGCCGUGGCCGCAGCAUCUUAUGUGUGGGUUAAAGGCAGCGAGGAUCCAGAGCGCAAUCGCUACAAGCUUUUCCUGGAGUGUACGCUCAUUCUCACGUCCAUAAUUCCGCCCGAUUUGCCCAUCGAGUUGACCUUGGCGGUAAACACAUCACUGAUUCAGCUAACAAAGUUGUUUGUGUUCUGUACAGAACCCUUUAGGAUUCCCUUUGCGGGAAAAGUGCAGAUUUGCUGCUUCGACAAGACUGGGACUCUGACAACGGAUAACCUGAUGGUGGAAGGUAUUGCAGGACUGGCUCCCAAUGGAGCUUGUGUUCCCAUCGACCAGGCGGAAGGGAACACGGUUCAAGUGCUCGCCUGUUGCCAUUCAUUGGCUCUGCUUGAUGACGGAUUAGUCGGAGAUCCGCUUGAGAAAGCCACUCUAGCAGCUGUGGACUGGACGCUUACCAAGAUGGACAGCGUCAUCCCAAGGCGACCACAGUUUAAGCCCUUAAAGAUCAUCCAGCGCUAUCACUUCUCAUCGGCACUUAAGAGAAUGUCCGUGUUAGCUGGCCAUCUAGUGCCGUACUCCAAUGAGGUGAAACAUUUGGGAGCAGUAAAGGGAGCUCCUGAGGUCAUUCAGAAGAUGCUGCGCGAGGUGCCCUCGGACUAUGAGAAGGUGUAUUUGGAAUAUGCUCGGCGUGGAGCACGCGUCUUGGCUUUGGGAAUUAAGGAUCUCGGGACCCUGAGCGCUCAGAGAGUUAGGGAAAUGAAGCGUGAGGAAGUGGAGUGUGACCUGACAUUUGCCGGAUUCGUGAUUAUUUCCUGUCCCAUGAAGCCCGAUUCGAAAUCUGUGAUCAAAGAGCUUAUUCAAUCCUCGCACAAGGUGGUGAUGAUUACGGGCGACAGCCCGCUCACCGCCUGUCAUGUGGCCCGCGAACUGCGCUUCACCCGCAAAAAGUUGAUCAUUCUUACCCCCCCUGACCAGGAAAGCAGGACCAGCUGGAGUUGGGUAUCUAUCGACGGGGAUCAAACGUACGAACUGGAUACUAAGGCUGGUAGCAAAAAGCUUCAACAUUUGCUAGCCACGCAUGAUCUCUGCAUUACCGGAGAGGGAUUGCAGCAUCUGCAACAGAAUCAGCCGCAAUAUAUGCGCCAAGUACUACCACUGAUUACGGUCUGUGCGCGCUUUGCACCCAAACAAAAGGAGUUCGUUAUCACGCAAUUAAAGCAACUGGGGUACUGCACUUUGAUGUGUGGCGAUGGUACCAACGAUGUAGGAGCUCUAAAGCACGCCAACGUGGGCGUCUCCCUGCUGACCAGUGCUCCAGUGAAGCGUAAACGCACCGAGGAGGAACAGCAGCAGGCGGCGGCCAAUGCAGCUGCAGCAGCAGCUCAGGCACAAGCAAAUGCCAACCAACAGUUGACGCCCAGGGAGCGCGCAUUGCGUCGGCGCCAGGAGCAUAUCAACCAGACACAGGCUCGUCUGCAAAGCGCCCUCCGUGACAUGGAAGAGCAAACUAUGGUCAAGUUGGGUGAUGCCUCUAUCGCGGCACCUUUCACCAGCAAGUCCUCUUCAAUCAUGUGCGUUAACCACAUCAUUAAGCAGGGUCGUUGCACGCUGGUCACCACACUCCAAAUGUUUAAGAUCCUUGCGCUGAACGCACUCAUUCAAGCCUACUGUCAAUCCGUGCUCUACAUUGAUGGCAUCAAGUUCAGCGAUACCCAAGCCACCAUGCAGGGCAUCUUCAUUGCCGCCUGCUUCCUCUUCAUCACACGAGCUAAGCCGCUGAAAACUCUAUCCAAGGUGGCUCCACUGCCAAAUAUCUUCAACUUCUACACGAUAUCAACUAUUCUCAGUCAGUUUGCUGUGCAUUUUGGAACGCUUUACUACCUGACCAGCCAAGCCAACAUUCUGGCACCGCCUAGAGAGGGCAAGGUAAAGUUGUAUAUUGACAUGGAUGCCGAGGAGAAGACUAAAUACGAUCCGAACAUUGUUAGCAGCACGGUCUACAUAAUUUGCCUAUCAUUACAAGUGGCCACCAUUGCGGUGAACUACAAGGGCCAUCCAUUCAUGGAGAGUUUGCGCUCCAAUCGCAUGCUGAUGUAUGCCAUCGGAGCUUCCGCUACAUUGGUGAUUCUUCUGUCCACGGGCCUGGCGCCCGAAUUGACGGAGUUCUUUGAGAUAAUUGAUUUCCCAACGGAUUUCCGCACAACUUUGCUCGGUGUCCUAGUCUUGGAUAUUGCCGGGGCUUUCCUUUUGGACCGUAUUUGCUCAUUCCUGUUCGGGGAAACGCGUCGCAAAUCUAAAGUGCUGAACUGUUAGGACCAUUUUAUACUAAGUAACAUACUAGAAAAGUAAAGUAACAGCAGCGCAAACCGAUCAAGAACUUAACGUGUUUUAUGGCGUCGGUUUCAUAAAUAUUUAAAUUCUUCAUCCAAGAAUCAACAUAAAGCAUUUAAAGUGUAUUAUCAGGCAAGUGUAUUAACGGGCGGCCUAUAUAAUUUUAAUUUGACAAAUCGAGAUCUUUCGAUUUCAUCGACUCCCGUAUAUGCGAUUAGUGAAAUUGUCGUAAUAUUUGUAAUGCUAAUAAAAUAGAGAAAAGUUUGAAAACCGUGA